AUGACAGGUGUGCUAAUAUUUUCAUGUGAGCCUCCCUGCGUCAUUUUAAUUUCAGGUUUUCCUGGUGUCUUUGCAAAAGCUCAGGAUCGGACUUUGUCAGCAAGGUGGGUCCCUCCUCUCGGCAUAGCAAGCUUGUUUCUACCCUGGUCCCGAGAACCUCAGAGGCUGAAGCUUGAGUCCCCACCUGAAGGUGUCCGCUUUUCCAGAACAGCAAGGAAGAACCAUGGCCCAGGUGAGUGUGGCAUUUCUUUCUACUGCAUUUUUUCAGCAGGGAUUUCGGAUGCUCAUAAGAACAUGACUAAUAAAGGCUGGGCGUGGUGGCUCACGCUGGUAAUCCCAGCACUGUGGGAGGCCAAAGUAGGCGGAUCACCUGAGGUCAGGAGUUCAAGACCAGCCUGGCCAACGUGGUGAAACCGUGUCUCUACUAAAAAUACAAAAUUAGACAGGUGUGGUGGCACGAGCCUGUAAUCCCAGCUACUCAGGAGGCUGAGGCAGGGGAAUCACUUGAACCCAGGAGGUAGAGGUUGCACUGAGCUGAGAUCGCGCCAUUGCACUGCAGCCUGGGUGACAGAGUGAGACUCUGUCUUAAAAAAAAAAAAAAAAAAAUGGGUAUCCGAUAAAACAAAAUGCAAACGGAAAUCAGGAUCAGUGAAAACAGGAAGAGAAUGGAAGAUCAAGGUUGUGGGAAGGGCAGGGUGGAGAUACUGUAGAGGCUGCCGCAGUUAUGAGAUGCCUUAUAAAUUUUUUUUUUUUUUGAGACGGAGUCUUGCUCUGUCACCCAGGCUGGAAUACAGUGGCAUAAUCUUGGCUCACUGCAACCUCUGCCUCCUGGGUUCAAGCGAUUCUCCUGCCUCAGCCUCCUUACAGGCACUUGCCACCACACACAGCUAAUUUUUGUAUUUUUAGUAAAGACAGGGUUUCACCACAUUGGC
rnacentral:lncRNA from 1 species